rnacentral:rRNA from 1 species
UACGGAGGGGGCUAGCGUUGUUCGGAAUUACUGGGCGUAAAGCGCACGUAGGCGGCUUUGCAAGUUAGAGGUGAAAGCCCGGGGCUCAACUCCGGAAUUGCCUUUAAAACUGCAUCGCUAGAAUUGUGGAGGGGUAAGUGGAAUUCCGAGUGUAGAGGUGAAAUUCGUAGAUAUUCGGAAGAACACCAGUGGCGAAGGCGACUUACUGGACACAUAUUGACGCUGAGGUGCGAAAGCGUGGGGAGCAAACAGG